rnacentral:rRNA from 1 species
UCAUAUGCUUGUCUCAAAGAUAAGCCAUGCAUGUCUCAGUACAAGCCAAAUUAAGGUGAAACCGCGAAAGGCUCAUUAAAUCAGUUAUGGUUCCUUAGAUCGUACCCACAUUUACAUGGAUAACUGUGGUAAUUCUAGAGCUAAUACAUGCAAACAGAACUCCAACCGGAGACGGAAGGAGUGCUUUUAUUAGAUCAAAGCCAAUCGGCGUCUGGGUUCGCCCGUUCGCCGCCCUCAUUGGUGACUCUGAAUAACUUUUGGCUGAUCGCACGGUCUUGCACCGGCGACGCAUCUUUCAAAUGUCUGCCUUAUCAACUGUCGAUGGUAGGUUCUGCGCCUACCAUGGUUGUAACGGGUAACGGGGAAUCAGGGUUCGAUUCCGGAGAGGGAGCCUGAGAAACGGCUACCACAUCCAAGGAAGGCAGCAGGCGCGCAAAUUACCCACUCCCGGCACGGGGAGGUAGUGACGAAAAAUAACGAUACGGGACUCAUCCGAGGCCCCGUAAUCGGAAUGAGAACACUUUAAAUCCUUUAACAAUAAACAAUUGGAGGGUAAGUCUGGUGCCAGCAGCCGCGGUAAUUCCAGCUCCAAUAGCGUAUAUUAAAGUUGUUGCGGUUAAAAAGCUCGUAGUUGAAUCUGUGUCCCGCGCUGUCGGUUCACCGCCCGCGGUGUUAACUGGCAUGUCUUGCGGGACGUCCUGCCGGUGGACGCGUCGUACGUCCGUGUAUUCAUUCGUCUUGAACGGUGUUGCACGUGGCGUGCGCCGUCCGACUUACGAAUCCUGUCGCGGUGCUCUUAAUUGAGUGUCGAGGCGGGCCGGCACGUUUACUUUGAACAAAUUAGAGUGCUCAAAGCAGGCUAAAAUUUCGCCUGAAUACUGUGUGCAUGGAAUAAUAGAACAGGACCUCGGUUCUAUUUUGUUGGUUUUCGGAACCCCGAGGUAAUGAUUAAUAGGGACAGAUGGGGGCAUUCGUAUUGCGACGUUAGAGGUGAAAUUCUUGGAUCGUCGCAAGACGGACAGAAGCGAAAGCAUUUGCCAAAAAUGUUUUCAUUAAUCAAGAACGAAAGUCAGAGGUUCGAAGGCGAUCAGAUACCGCCCUAGUUCUGACCAUAAACGAUGCCAGCUAGCGAUCCGCCGAAGUUCCUCCGAUGACUCGACGGGCAGCUUCCGGGAAACCAAAGCUUUUGGGUUCCGGGGGAAGUAUGGUUGCAAAGCUGAAACUUAAAGGAAUUGACGGAAGGGCACCACCAGGAGUGGAGCCUGCGGCUUAAUUUGACUCAACACGGGGAAUCUUACCAGGCCCGGACACCGGAAGGAUUGACAGAUUGAGAGCUCUUUCUUGAUUCGGUGGGUGGUGGUGCAUGGCCGUUCUUAGUUGGUGGAGUGGUUUGUCUGGUUUAUUCCGUUAACGAACGAGACUCUAGCCUGUUAACUAGGCGUUACUUACCGGUAUCUCGAAGGCUCGCGUCUGCCGUACUGCAGCGUCGUGUGCUCGUAUUUGUGUCCGUUACGGCGGCGCAUUUACGUUGUUACUGGCGUGCGCGGGCGGGAGUUCGCGGUUUUUACUACCGGCGUACAAUUGAAUCUUCUUAGAAGGACAGGCGGCUUUUAACCGCACGAGAUUGAGCAAUAACAGGUCUGUAAUGCCCUUAGAUGUUCUGGGCCGCACGCGCGCUACACUGAAGGAAUCAGCGUGUCCUCCCUGGCCGAACGGUCCGGGUAACCCGCUGAAACUCCUUCGUGCUAGGGAUUGGGGCUUGCAAUUCUUCCCCAUGAACGAGGAAUUCCCAGUAAGCGUGAGUCAUUAACUCACGUUGAUUACGUCCCUGCCCUUUGUACACACCGCCCGUCGCUACUACCGAUUGAAUGAUUUAGUGAGGUCUUCGGACUGGUACGCGUGGGUGUUUCGACACUUUCGAUGUCGCUGGGAAGAUGACCAAACUUGUCAUAUAGAGGAAG